UCCCAAAACUGUGUUUAUUUGGCACGUUAAACAUUCAUCGCAUAAGUCAUGUUUCAGACACAGCGCCGUCGCGUAGGUCGCAUUUCGGAUACAGCGCCAUCACGUAGGUCGCAUUUCGGAUACAGCGCCAUCGCGUAGGUCGCGUUUCGGAUACAGCGCCGUCGCGUAGGUCGCGUUUCGGAUACAGCGCCGUCGCGUAGGUCGCGUUUCGGAUACAGCGCCGUCGCGUAGGUCGCGUUUCGGAUACAGCGCCGUCGCGUAGGUCGCGUUUCGGAUACAGCGCCGUCGCGUAGGUCGCGUUUCGGAUACAGCGCCUUCGCGUAGGUCGCGUUUCGGAUACAGCGCCGUCGCGUAGGUCGCGUUUCGGAUACAGCGCCGUCGCGUAGGUCGCGUUUCGGAUACAGCGCCGUCGCGUAGGUCGCGUUUCGGAUACAGCGCCGUCGCGUAGGUCG